rnacentral:lncRNA from 1 species
UAAGGGCUAACCCUGUUAGAGAUGUCUAAGUGCCAGUGUAAAAAACGCAUGCAUUGGAGUAAUUCCACUUGAGUGCUAGGAGAGCUGCGGAAUGUGUCCACAAGCCACUCUUUGGUAGAGAGCUGCACCUAAGAAGUCCUAUUUUCUGACACUUUUCCAUGCUGGGCAGGCGGAAGUGCAGCAGGAAGAUGAAUCUUCAAGUGAAGAGAUGCAGUCCCCCAGUACACAGUUGUAUAACCUAGUUGUAGGUCCUUCUGGUUCUUCUAUGUGGGACACCGCCUAAGCAUGCCUUGAUG